CCUACGGGGGGCAGCAGUGGGGGAUAUUGGACAAUGGGGGGAACCCUGAUCCAGCGACGCCGCGUGAGUGAAGAAGUAUUUCGGUAUGUAAAGCUCUGUCAGCAGGGAAGAAAGAAAUGACGGUACCUGACUAAGAAGCCCCGGCUAACUACGUGCCAGCAGCCGCGGUAAUACGUAGGGGGUAAGCGUUAUCCGGAAUUACUGGGUGGAAAGGGAGCGUAGACGGUAAAGUAAGUCUGGAGUGAAAGGCCGGGGCCCACCCCCGGGACUGCUCUGGAAACUGUGUAACUGGAGUGCAGGAGAGGUAAGCGGAAUUCCUAGUGUAGCGGUGAAAUGCGUAGAUAUUAGGAGGAACACCAGUGGCGAAGGCGGCUUACUGGACUGUAACUGACGUUGAGGCUCGAAAGCGUGGGGAGCAAACAGGAUUAGAUACCCUAGUAGUC
rnacentral:rRNA from 1 species